GGGUCAUUGAAAGUGGGGAACUUCACGCAGAGGAGGAGAGUGGAUUUCCACGUGCCGCGGUGAAGGGGGAAGACAUGUGGAGGAACACCUGUGGCGUAGGCGACUCUCUUGUCUGUAAAUGACUCUGAGGAGAGAAAGCGUGGGGAGCGAACAUGAUUAGAUAUCCUGGUCGUCCACGCCGUAAACGAUGAGUGUUAAGUGUUAGGGGUUUUCCCCCCUCAUAGUGCUGCAGCGAACGCAUUAAGCACUUUGCCUGGGGAGUAUGGUCGCAAGACUGAAACUCAAAGGAAUUGACGGGGGGCCGCACAAGCGGUGGAGCAUGUGGUUUAAUUUGAAGCAACGCGAAGAACCUUACCAGGUCUUGACAUCCUCUGACAAUCCUAGAGAUAGGACGUCCCCUUCGGGGGCAGAGUGACAGGUGGUGCAUGGUUGUCGUCAGCUCGUGUCGUGAGAUGUUGGGUUAAGUCCCGCAACGAGCGCAACCCUUGAUUUUAGUUGCCAGCAUUCAGUUGGGCACUCUAAGGUGACUGCCGGUGACAAACCGGAGGAAGGUGGGGAGGACGUCAAAUCAUCAUGCCCCUUAUGACCUGGGCUACACACGUGCUACAAUGGACAGAACAAAGGGCAGCGAAACCGCGAGGUUAAGCCAAUCCCACAAAUCUGUUCUCAUUUUUGAUUGCAGUCUGCAACUCGAGAAAGUGAAGCGGGCAUCGAUAUUAAUCGCGGAUCCAAAGCCCGAGCAUAAUAAGUUCCCGGGCCUUGUUCACACCUCCCGUCACCCCCCGAGAGUUGUAACACCCGAAUUAUACUGAGGUAACCUUUAUGCAUCCAGCCCCUUGCAAGAGUCGCACAGAUGGAUGGGGUGAAGUCAUAUUAUCUAAG
rnacentral:rRNA from 1 species